rfam:Pelecanus crispus contig42512, whole genome shotgun sequence.
AGCUCAUUGGUCUAGGCGUAUGAUUCUUGCUUUGGGUGUGAGAGGUCCUGGGUUCAACUCCCAGAUGAGCCC